CCAUUUCAGCUUCUUCUUCUUCUUUCUUAGCCCUUCAUAUUCCUCCAUUGUUGAAGCUUCAAGCCAUGCCAGCACAACCAACCCUUGCAGAACCAGCUACCAACCCAAGAAUAGCCAUCGAGCCAAGACACCAUCAUGUCGCCAGCCUUUGCCGUCCGCAACCCUUGCUCGCUAGCUCCGUUUGCCCCGCGUCCGCCUCAGCUCACUUGAGUCAGCAGCCGCUCCCCUUGACCAGGCCGCCGUUCAUCCCCGAGCCAACCAUCCCAUGUCCACCGAAGCUCAUCGUCUCCGGCUUGCUAACCACCGCGAAGCUGCAGCCCAUUCAACAGCUCCAGGAGCAAAAUUCCAGUUAGAAGCCUUGGGCUUACAAGGUUAUUUUCAACCUAGUCCGAGCCUCCUUUGAAGCCGUUGUAGACACGGGAUCUCACCGCCAUCGUGCCGCCGUCGCCGUGGACCCAUUUAUCCUCUAAUCCGGUCCUUAGUCUAGAGAUAACGGAGGGUAUCAUGGAGGAUCCUGAGCCAGAGUCGAAGGGAUCCGGAGUAUAGGUUGUUCGAUAGUUCUUUUGGGACAGACCUUUAGUGUACAGACUUGUAGGAUUGACUUGGCUUGUUUAUAAGGCGUGAUUGCUGAAAUUUGGUUGUCCUACUUUUCUAUCCCGUGUUUGUUGUUAUCCGGGUAUAUGUUUAAAGUUCGCUUCCGCAUGUGCAUAAAAAGAAAAGGGUCGGCGACGUGUCUUGGGAACGUCGCAAUUUAGUCGACUGCCGGGGGAUGUGCACGUGCCCGGGUUCGGAGUGUGACAUUCAAGAAACCCAAAAGUAAUACUACAAUGAUAAGAUUGAUUUGAAGGAA